CAAGUACAAUCACUGUAUUACAAGUAAUCCCCCCUUUACACUUCACCCCUAGGGGUAUUUAUACAACUUCCUAACACGAAUCGACCUGAUGGAUCCGAUAUACUUGGGACGCCUUCUUUGGGGUGUCAACUGCUCGAGUUAAUGGGUCUUUUAAGCCGGUCGGCCAAAUGUUCGUAGGGCUUAUGGAGCCGUCCGGACCAUUCAAACAGUUUAACGUCCUUGGAAUGAUCUGGGCUUUCCGCUGUUCGUCUUACUGGACCGGGGCUUCUUCGUGGGCCUGGGCUGGUAACUUGGGGGUACCAUCAGUACUCCCCCCCUCUUCCUAUAAAUAGGCUACUUUUCUUUAUUUGGUUCAUUUUCUCCUCCUUUUAUCAUGUCUUCUCUUGAUGAUUUGUUGCAGGAGCUGGGCUACGAGUUGGCACGUCAGCAAGGUAUUUGGCCAGAUGAUCUUCUUCAACACCUCUGUGAUAUUGAAGAUUUUACUGUGGGUAAUUCUCGUUUGUCCCAACUGGUCUCAGAAGUCUCGCAUCGCGUUCGCGCUCUUCAGCAAGUCAGCAAUGGUACCGGUGUUGUUGUUCCAACUGCGGCAACUGUUUCCCGCAACCGUCGGUCUGCUACUCCGUUCGGUCCUGCUAUCCCUGCUACUGUCUUUUGCGUUGCCUCUGCUCCUCCCCCCUCCCCUGGGGCUCCUGUGCCUGCGUCUACUGAGCAUUUGUUGACUGAACGCUCCAUUGCCCCUGCUCCUCGCCGUCGUCGGGGACGUGGACCACGUGCCGGUCGUUCAGGGCCUCCUCCAGGCGAUCUCCGUUACUUUUUAUCACGAGGCCCACCUUGAUGGGUUUCUUUCAUUUGUGUUUUGUGUUCUGUUUUGAAUGUUUCUUUUGUUCCCUGCAGUUCUUGUGACUUCUACAAACUCAUUUGUGCCUCUCUUACGUACUGAUGUAAUUUUUCUUUUUUAGCAAAUUUUCUCUUCGUAUGAAUGGCUUCUUUGUUCGUGCUUAUUGAAUGUAACUACUUGUUGAUUAGGCAUUUGGCAACUUCCAACUUUCUACUACGAUCUUAACUUCCCUCGGCACUUUGAUUACCACGUUUUCUACAACUGUUUUCCCCACGGGCAGGUAUUCUUGCUUUUUCUUUAAGGUCAUGUUGCUAUCCUGGUGAAAUUCCCUUCUUUUUCGUUGUGGUUACCUUUCUUCAGGCAUCCUCCCUACGGUCCUUCUGCCCUCUCCUUAAACAACCGAUCUCGCCUUCUAUACUACUCGGUCGAUCCAGUUCCGUUUCUUUCCAAGUAUCCUCCGUAUGGCAACUUCGACCCUCCUUUUGAUGUCCGAGCUUAUGUUUCUGAGAAAAUGUGCCUAUCUUUCCGUACGGUUUAUCCGUCCUUCGGGUAUGAAAAAAUUUAAUUUCCCGCCAAAAAAGCUUCUAUAUAUAGUCUCUUUCUCCUUCAUUCUUCCUCACUUCUCUCCUUUUUCAGUAGGGUUUGUCCUCCAUUAGUCGCCGCAGCCUCUCCCAUGGCCGAUCUCGAUCAAUUCCUAGACGGUAUCCCUGGUUUCCACGGUAACUUUCUAAACUCCUCUGAGGAUCCUCCCUCCAUACUUAGUAGGCGGCAAGCCCGUCGUCAUUUCCAGGUGAUCGCUCCUUCUGUGGCGAUAGCUCAUCUGGAAGUGCCAAACGAUGCCUCUGCCUCUUCACCUCCUGAUGGCUAUACUGCCCUCUAUUCGGGUUUUGAGGAUCUAGGGCUUCGGCUUCCUGCUUCCCCUUUUCUCUUAUCUUUUCUUUCGUAUACUGGUGUUGCUAUUUCCCAACUUUCUCCUUCUAGUUUAGACCGCGUCCUUUCGUUCGAACAUUUGUGUCACGAACUAGAUCUGAAGCCCUUCGAGCGUGUUUUCCGUCUGUUUUUUUCAAUCUCACGUCCCAAUUCCGCACGGCUUUUAGUUUCUUCUAAGAUAAGGCAUAAACUUCUUGUUUCUUAUCCUGACCGCUCACAUCGGUGGAAGAGCCGCUAUUUUUUUGUAAAAAGCCAUUCCGUGGGGUUGUCUGAGGUUCCUUCCAAGUGGGUAGACACCUCUUCCUUCGAAGCUGGGAAUCUCUCCGUAGGGGAACUUUCUCCGGAAGAGCACUAUGUGUAUUCCCGCCUACUAUCUGUCCGUUCGGAUCCCAUUGAUUAUUCUAGUUUGAUGGCCGGGACUUGGAAAUCCGUUCAUCCGCAUCUCGUCCCCUCUGGUAAUUUACAUUUGACUGUUAAUUUUUCCUUUUUUCAGGCGAAUCUGACGGAGAAGGUUUGUCGGGCUUGUUUGCAGGGUCCGGAUCACGGAGGAGCAAUAAGAGAGCCCGUGCGGAAGUAGUUGACAAUGCUGCUGAUUCUUCCAACACUCUUCCUGAUGAUUAUACCAAGUACAUUAACUUUUCUGAUGAUGGGAAUAAUCAAGGCUUUGGAGACCGUCUGAUUGUGACUGAGCAUAUGCAAGCCCCUCGGAUUGCUGGGAUCUACGAACAGGCGCUCGGCCAAUUGGAUUCCGUGGUGAAGAAGGAGGCCGACUGGGCGACCUUGACAAAUACCGCUCUCGAUGACAUUGAUGAAGCGUGCUAUAUCCGGGUUCUUCAGUCCGUUGCUAUGGAGCGUCACCGACAGCAAAGGGGGAUGGAACGGACGCGUGAGCUUAAUGAUGCUUUGGCCGAGGUUACUCGCUUGACCCAGGCGCUUUCCCUGAAGGAUACUGAGAUUGAGUCCCUUCGGACUGAGAGGGACGAGAAGGGCAUUGAGGUUGAGUCCCUUCGGACUGAGAGGGACGAGAAGGCUGCCCAGGUUGCGUCUAUGGAAGCAAAUAUUGAACGAGCCAAGGUGAAAUUUACUGAACAAGUCAAGAAUUUGACCGAGCGGAAUAAGCGUGCUUGUUUCAAGAAUUUUGUUGAAGGCAUGGUUCACGGACGGGAUAUGGUGAACCUCCGUAGUCCUGAAUAUGAAUCGACCGUCGUUCCUAUUAACCCACCCAUGUGGGAACAAUGGCAAGUGACCGGGAUCCCUACGGAGCAUCCGCCCUGGCCCAAGACUCUCUCCGAGUUGUCGGGACAUGAUAACCAAUAGUUUAAGUUUUUUAUUUUUGAGAAAAGAACAAUUAAAACGUACCUUUUUGUAACUUGAAUUUUUAUCCCGUGCUUUUGCUUAUCAUUCUCCUGUCUUUGUUUCCCUGCAAACAUUUAUAAUUGUUCCAAGAUGCUUCUUUUAAUUAAUAUUCCUUACGAUUUUAUUGCCCUAAGGCUUUGUUGUGGUUUUUUUUUGUACAAUAAUUUGUUACUCUUUUUUUUUGUUCUUACAUACAAUCACUUCUACUGGAAAUACUUAGAUAGAUUGUCAGAGUGCCAUGUUCUCUCUAUUUUCUGACCGUCCUCAAAUGCUAAUCUGUAUAUUCCCGGACGGACUUCCUCCACGACUACAUACGGUCCCUCCCAUUUUGGAGAUAACUUCCCUUUAGUUUGGUCCAGUCCGGUGAUUCUUCCGUUUCUUAAUACCAAGUCUCCUGAAUUUAUCUUCUUCUCAUUCACUCUUUGGUUAUGGUAUCUUGCCGCCUUCCUUUUAUAGGUCAAAUCCCUUAUUGCCGCCAUUUCUCUUAAUUCUUCACACUUUUCUCUGGCUAGUAAGAUGGCCAGGUUGUUAUCUUCUGGGUUAAAAUUCGUUACCCUUGCUGUUGGCCACACCACUUCCGCCGGGGCCACUGCGUCCAAUCCGAAUGCCAAUGUAAAUGGUGGAUGUCCUGUCGGAGUACGUACGGUUGUUCUGUAUGCCCACAUUGUUUCUGGUACUAAAUCUGCCCAUGUUCCCGGAUUAUCGCUUACUUUUCUUUUGAGAAUGGAUGUUAUCGUCCUGUUUGUGACCUCAACUUGUCCGUUAGCUUGUGGAUGAUACACUGGGGCGAAGCUCAUCUUUAUACCACUAUCCUCACAAAAUUUCUUUACUUUUUCCCCGUAAAUUGUGUUCCAUUGUCUGUUAUUAUUUGUAAUGGAACCCCGAACCUGCAGAUUAUGUUUCUAAAAAUGAACUGGAUGACGUUUUGUUCCGAUAUUGCGCUUGUUGGUUCAGCCUCAGCCCAUUUAGUGAAGUAGUCAACCGCCACGAAUAAGAAUUUUCGACCUCUUGAUGCUACCGGAAAUGGGCCGACUAUGUCUAAACCCCAUCGAGCAAAUGGUACUGGUGUAACCACAGGAUUCAUUAUACUGGACGGCCUCCUCUGGAUGUUUGCAUGCCUUUGGCAUUCGUUGCAACUUCUUACUAGUUCUUCAGCAUCUUUUCUUAUUUGUGGCCAAUAGUAGCCCUGUCUCACCACCUGUUUUUCCAACAUUUUUGCCCCCUGAUGUGGCCCGCACGCUCCUUUAUGUGCGCUUGUUAAUAUUUCUUUUCCUUCUUCAUGUGUAACACAAAUCCGUAGGGGAAUACUGUCCUCCACUGCCCUACGGAAAAGAUCGUUUCCUACUGUUGUAAACCAGGCCGCUUUAUUUCUCAACUUUCUCUCCUCCAUCGCGUCCGUCGGGACUAUUCCUUUUGUAAUGUAAUUUUUUAUCGGUACUCUCCAAUCCUCCUUUACUGCCAGUGUCAGGAUUUUGUUUCUUUCACUUUUUGCUAUUGAUGGCACUUCCUGCCGUUCCACUCGAACCCAUCGCCCUUUUGGCACACUUGGGGACGCGCCCAAUCUUGCUAAAAUAUCUGCCUCUUUAUUUUCCGUGCGGCUUAUGUGAUGUAGUUCCCAUUCUGCGAAAUGUUGCAAUGUGUCACGUGCUGCUUCUGUGUAUCGACACAUCCCUUCUUCAUUUGACAUGAAUUCCCCAUUGACUUGAUUUGCUACUAACCGUGAAUCCGUAUGAAAUUUUGCCCUUCUGGCUCCUAACGCUUUUCCUAGUUGUGCCCCUGCUAUUAGUGCUUCAUACUCUGCUUCGUUGUUUGUUGUUUUGAAGUUAAAGUUAAUUGCGUGUUCUAUCUUUUCUUUCGUAGGUGUCUGGAUUAUUAUUCCUGCUCCGCACCCGGAAUUACUUGCCGAUCCAUCAACAUGAAUAAUCCACCAACUCUCAACUUCCUCCCCACUUGGUGUAAAUUCUGCCAAGAAAUCAGCGACUGCUUGUCCUUUGAUUGCUUUUGCUGGUACUAUACUUAUAUAAAAUUCGCUUAANNNNNNNNNNNNNNNNNNNNNNNNNNNNNNNNNNNNNNNNNNNNNNNNNNNNNNNNNNNNNNNNNNNNNNNNNNNNNNNNNNNNNNNNNNNNNNNNNNNNUGUCAAUCUGCCCGAUACAUCUGGCUUAUGCAACAACUGUAACAAUGGAAAUUCUGUUGGGAUGGUUAUUGGGUGUGCUUGGAAAUAAGGUUUUAACCUCCUUGCCGUUGUUACUAUUGCUAACCCCAGUUUCUCAAUUUGUGGAUACUUCUUCUCUGCUCCUUGUAAUGUGCGCGAGUAAUAAUAAAUUGGCCGUUGCGUACCAUCCCUUUCAGUCAUUAGUACCGUGCUAGUGGCAUUGUCGGAUGCGGCUAUGUAUAAUUUUAAUGGUUCCCCCGGGAACGGUGGUUGUAAGGUUGGUAAAUUCUUUAACUGCUCCUUAAGUUUUUGAAACGCUUCCUCGCAUUCUUCUGUCCAUGUUAUUUUCGGGCUCGACGAUUUUAUUAACUUGAAAAGAGGUUGUAAUGUGUCUGCCCCCCUUGCUAAGAACCUGCUUAAUGCAUUUACCUUUCCGUUGAGUUUCUGCACUUCUUUUAUUGUCUUUGGUGGGGUCAUUGCCAUUAUCGCCUCUACUUUUUCCGUACGGGCUUUUAUCCCGUAGGGAGUUAUUUUGAAGCCCAAAAAAUGCCCUUUCGUGACCCCGAAAGAACAUUUUUUUGCCUUCAAUCUUAAACCCGCUCUUCUGAUGUUAUCAAAAGUCUCCCUCAGGUCUGGUAAGUGCUCUGCAACUGUUUUGGAACAAACUAGGAUAUCGUCUACAUAUACNNNNNNNNNNNNNNNNNNNNNNNNNNNNNNNNNNNNNNNNNNNNNNNNNNNNNNNNNNNNNNNNNNNNNNNNNNNNNNNNNNNNNNNNNNNNNNNNNNNNNNNNNNNNNNNNNNNNNNNNNNNNNNNNNNNNNNNNNNNNNNNNNNNNNNNNNNNNNNNNNNNNNNNNNCCCGAAUGUGCAUCCAUGAAACUCAGUAAUUUGCAUCCUGAAGCUUGGUCGACCAAAUGGUCUACUGAUGGGAGUGGGUAUGAAUCUUUAGGGCAAACUUUAUUUACAUUUGUAAAAUCUACACACAUCCUCCAUCCUCCAUCUGCUUUUCUUACCAUUACCACAUUUGAUAGCCAUUCUGGGUAUUUUACAGGUCGAAUGAAAUUUGCAUCUAUCAGUUUCUGUACUUCUUCCGCUGCCGCCUCCUUCCUAUCUCCUCUUAGUGGUCUCAUCUUCUGCCUUACUGGUCGUACAUGCUUUCCUACUGCUAAUUUGUGUUCCGUGAGGCUCCGGUCGAUCCCUUUGAGUUCCGUUACAUCUUUGGCGAACAGAUCUUCGUUCUCUUUGAGUAGUUUCACGAUAUCAUUCUUGACUUCUUGCGGGAGGUCAGCACCCACUUGUACAUUGCCACCAUUUAAUUCUACUACUAUCAUAUCUGAAGCCGACUUGAACUUUGGACGUUCUUCCUUGACAGUAUGUGGGAGUUUGUUCUUUUCUUCCGCUGCAGUCAUUACUUGCCCUGUCGAGUUUAUAUAACAUUCCCUCGCUUUUUUCUGUGAUCCUUUAACUGUGCAUAUCCCUGCUUCCGAUGGGAAUUUCAAACAUUGGUGCAGAGAAGAUGUUACUGCCCCAAACGCAUGUAAUGCUAUCCUUCCUAAUAUUGCAUUGUACCCCGAUGAAAAUGGCACCACCGAGAACUUCGCUAUCAUUGUUGUCUCUUGUGCGAACUUUCCCAAUGUUAUUGGGAUGUCUAUUGUCCCCAGCAUUUGGACUUCUCCUUGGCCGAACCCAGUAAUUGGUGUGCCACACGGGCCCAAAUCCGCCCUGCAAAAUCCCAAUUGAUCAAAUGCGCUCCAAUAUAACACAUCUACUGAAGCUCCUGUGUCCACUAGCACUCUGUUUAGUCUAAUCCUUUCCUUGUCCUCCCUCCGUACAAUAGGUGUUAUGACCAAUGGGUCAUGAUGUGGAACUGUGAUUCCUGUCAAGUCCUCAUUUGAAAAACGAAUAUCCUCCCCUGCUUUAAUUUUUUUUAUUAUUCCAUCCGUCCGGCUAAGAUCCUCUGCGUACCUUUUUCCUUCGAAUCCUGUUCCUCCUCUGGCUGCUUCUCCUCCUGAUAUUGCUAAUAUUUCCCUGAUAUUCCUUCCAUCCUGAUCUUCCCUGCGGUUCUGAUAUCCUGACGUUCUAAUUUCCCUGUGGUCUUCAUGUCCUGCAGGCGCUGGUGCUGUUCGUCGCGGUGGAGAAGGUAACCUUUGACGUACGGGGAGCGAGCCCUGCCGCUCUUGUACUCUUUCUAAUUCUUUUGCCAGAAUCCAACAUUCGGCUGUUGUAUGUCCUAUGUCUUCAUGAUAUUCACAAUACAAGUGUGGAUUUCUGUUAACUGCUGUUUCCGUACGCAUUGGUCGUGGUUCCGGAAGUAUCCUUUCUCCCCUUAACGCUAAAAACACCUGUCGUUGGUUUGGAAACGGGGUGACCCUUUGUGGACCGUAAUUGAUGAAGUUUUCCCUUGGGAAAGGGGCCCUCCUUGCAUUAUCUUCUAACACCUCUCUGUUUUGUGAUCGGGCUUCCAGUCUCGGCUGCUUUUGCUGUGCAUUUUGAUCGUACUGGCCUUUCGGUCUUUGACGUAUCUGCUUAUAUUUUGCUUCGUGGUAAUCUUCUACGUUUGAUUCUUUAUACGAUCUCUCCAUAGCUUCUGCAAACGUUGAUGGGAGAUCCCUUACCAAAUCCCCUGAGAAUCUGGUCGGUCUUAAUCCGUUAACUAGUGCCAUCAGUAUUCCUUCCUCCGAGCAAACGACUUUUUGAACUGCCAUUGCAAAUCGAUCCAUAUAUUCUCGCGUUGACUCACGUUCUCCCUGUACCACUGUUAAUAAAGUUGUGUUUAAACCUUUGCGCCUUAUUUUAUGCCCAAAGGCAAUUUUGAACGAUUUUUCCAAGUCUUUGAAUGAAUUGAUACUUCCCACCGGAAGGUUUCUGUACCAACCCACUGCUUCUCCCUUCAAAGUUCUUCUAAACAUACGACACCAGAUGUCUCUUCGCCCAGUAGUAUCCUCCAUUUCCAUACGGAACGAGUGAACAUGAUCUUCAGGAUCCGUUGUACCAUCAUAUGAUGUCAUUUUUGGGGCUCUCCACCCUGUCGGAUAACCUUCCACUAAAAGAUGUCGCGCUAAAGCUUCUUCGUUGUCCGCUGGUGUUAAUUGGUCCAGAUAACCAAUUGAUGGUUGUAUAGGAACGUUCUCAUGUAUGCUUCUAUUUGCCAUUGACACAAUUUGUUCCUGAAGUUGCCUUUGAUUGUUUUGCAAAUCCGCGAUAAUUGACAUUAGUUGACUUUCUCUUGGUUCCCGCAAUAUGGGAAACGCUCUCCCAUAUCCUUGGUCAUUUCUAUGUUCUGGUGAUCUUGAUCGGCUUUGCUCCGACCAACUUGCAUCCAUCCCAUCUUCCGGUAUUGCCUCUUCAAAGAAUCGGGAAUUUUCGCGCGUACGCUGCUGGGGGUGAUAAGGUGCUUCUUCGAUAUUUUCUUCUAAACGCACCUGUUCACCCACUCCUUGGCUUUCACGAGUAACUGUUGACAGUCGAUUCCCAUAUGUUUCUACCGCCCCGUUUUCCAGACUUCCCUCUACUUGAAUUUCCCGUUCCGGUUGCUCUGCAUCCAUCUUCUCGUGUUCGUGUUCGAUUCACGUCAGGUUCACCACUGAUCGUGACCCUCUAGGAAGAAGGUCGAUCUUAUCUACUAUAGUAUAAUUCCAAGUAUUCCACAAGUAUCAUCACAAUGUAUCACAAGUAUAAUCACUGUAUUACAAGUAAUUCCCCCCCUUUUACACUUCACCCCUAGGGGUAUUUAUACAACUUCCUAACACGAAUCGACCUGAUGGAUCCGAUAUACUUGGGACGCCUUCUUUGGGGUGUCAACUGCUCGAGUUAAUGGGUCUUUUAAGCCGGUCGGCCAAAUGUUCGUAGGGCUUAUGGAGCCGUCCGGACCAUUCAAACAGUUUAACGUCUUUGGAAUGAUCUGGGCUUUCCGCUGUGUCUUACUGGACCGGGGCUUCUUCGUGGGCCUGGG
rnacentral:lncRNA from 1 species